CACAGCAUUUAUGGGGCAAUGUGAAGAUGUGAACGAGUGCCUAGAGAAGAGUGAUUUCUGUGGCCCCAACGCCAAGUGCAAGAACAGAAUCGGAUCCCACAACUGCUCCUGCCUUGAGGGUUACGUCUCAAGCAACGGAGAGAAAUAUUUUGAUGGCACCACAGGAGUGACGUGCAAAGAACUCAGGUCCCCAGCCGUGACAUUGCUGCCAGUGUCCACCGACUCUCUUAUCUGUGUCAUACGGGACUUCUACCCCAAUACGCUGACAGUGACUUGGAAAGUGGGGGGCAGCGUUGUGACAGGAUUGUCCCACACCUGGCAAACGGAGACAGAAGGCGAGGGAGCGUACUCAGCCAGCAGCAUUCUGAAGCUGGACAGGGCCACCUGGGACAGCAACGCCGAGUACACCUGUGAAGUGGAGCAUCAGCAGGAAGUCUUCAGCGACACGGUUUACAAAUAUAAGCCUGGGCUGGAGGUGACCCUGAAGCUCCCAAGGGUGAGAGAGAUGUUCAUUAACAACCAGGCUGUGCUGGACUGUAACAUCAUUGGGGAAGAACAGGCAGCAGUUACCGCAGCAACGGUGACCUGGAGACUGGAUGGAACCGUUGUGAGGAAUGGAAUUACCACACCAAGCGUUGCAGAGCAUGACGGCCAUCUGUACAGAAAGACCAGCACUCUCACUGUGGGGCAGAAGGACUGGUUUGAUGGGAAAUGGAUUCAGUGCUCUGUCCAGCAGAGGCCUGACAAACCUACCAUCAGCAAGGCUGUGGGAAUGGAACGAGGAGCUAAAGCUCCUCCCACUUUGCUCAUCCUCUCGCCGACUGACAGAGGGACAGGGAGAUGGACGAACGUCACGCUGGUGUGUCUGGCAACCGGCUUCUCCCCCCGCGACAUUUACAUCAUGUGGCGCGUGGAUGACGGGGAGUAUCGGGAGGGUGUGACGGGCGAACCCGUGAGGGCUAGCGACGGCACCUACUCCGUCACCAGCCUGCUGGAGGUCACGGCGUCGCAGUGGGCGAAGUCGCGGUUCAUCUGCGCCGCAAAGCACGCCAGCACGGAAGAAGCUUCAUCCCCCAUGCGCACGGCUGUGUUCAGAAAAACAGCCGUCUUACAGUGUGACUGACACCUCACCCUGUGACACAAAAACCACUGUGGCACCGGUCGUGUUAAAUGAGGCAACCCUGACCUUUCAUCAUGCUUUUGCACUAUCCGCCAAUUGGAUUGCAAUUCUCUACCGCUCCACAUCAAAAUCAAAGUGGAAUCCUACAGGGGAAAAAAAAAUCUAUGAUGAACCAUUACAUAACUUAAUACAAUGUAUUUCUGUGAUCUUGUAGGUGUCUGUUUUUUAUUGUUUUCCAUAAAAAACAUCAAUCUAUGGUCACUUCAUGCACUCAUCAAUCAUGCACUUUUAUCUC